UGGUACCAUGAUGCACUUAAGCAGCCCUACAGAGAGGUCCAACUGUAUGCUACGACCAGAGGCCUCAUUCAGAUGGCCAGAGAUGAAGUCACUAGAGAGCCACCAACGAGGGCCUCUUGUGCCCAGCCUCCACCAACUUGCUGACUCUUGAAGCUGCCCUUGGCCCCCGACCCCAGGCACCGGGUCCAGAAGCACAGUUGAUUCAGCAUUUCCUGCCCUUUCAACAAUCUCGGUGCACAGAACGGACCUUAUUCAACCGCGGCUCCCAAGAGCCUUCCUCUGACUUCAUUAAGCACUAAUGUGAAGCAGGAUAAGUCUUCAGCAUUUAACUACCUGAUCAGAAACAUGUUCCCAGUUCCUGUCCCUGCCCUGCUGGGAAGCACAUUUCUUGUAGGGUUAAUUAACAGCCUUCACAUAGCCGCAUUUAGCUACGAACACAAAGCCACACACAUAAAUAACGUCUAGGACGGAAGGAGAGGUGCAGAUGGUUUCUGACUUUGCCGUAUAGUUUUCUAAACCGGUGUGAGCCACGUCCUGUCCUGGUCCAGGGCCAUGAGUCAGGGUCAGGCUUUGAGGUGGGCCAAGCCAGAGACACCUCUGGUGAAUGUCUCAAAAGAGAACACAUUGCUUGCGGGGGGGGGGGGGUGCUGCUUCCCCACCAGGAGCCUGAGAAACUUGCUGAAUGAACCAAACACAGGCUCCUGGGCCCAGCUGUAAGAUAUUGCUGAAUGUAUCAUGGGGGCUCUACUAGAUCCAGACUUGAGCCCUAAAGGUUCCUCCUGAGCCCUGCAGAACACAAGGCUAAGGCACUCCUCAUCUAGGGGGAAAAGAUAGACAAGAUUGCUAAAGAAGCCUGGAAUUUUCUAGAAACGGCACCAAAAGUGCUUGCCAUGUUCUGGAUCCUCUGUGGAUAAGGUCCCCUAUGUGGUCUCAGUCGCCACCUGGAACUCCAACACUUUCUUCCCACAGCCAAGGGGACACACACCUAAAUAUUGUUCUGGGUGAUGAAGGCAAUGUGGAACUCAGGUUACAGAAGUCAGGACAGCCCGAGGCAUCUGAAUUCAGAGAGAAAACAAGAGCAGAGAAACAAAGGGGGCAAUGAAAACAAUCUGGUUAUCCUGGCUAUCAGGGAACAAGGGAAGAGAGGAAGUGGGAAAGGGAACUGUGAGCCUUCACACUCCAUCUCUGUGUUCAUUCACAUUCGUCCUCAGAACCCCUAAGAGUCUCCCCAUUUGGAGAGUUCAAUCCUUAUUUAGACCUUCUCCUGGAAUCCAGGGUUUGGGAUCUGUGUGGAGCAUGGAGGACCACUGAGGAGGCCGCCUCACAAGAGGGCGUCCCCUGGUGGCAGAGACAGGAGGCCUCGGCAUGAUCUAAGCUUCCCAUGAGACAGAUUAGGCACACAG
rnacentral:lncRNA from 1 species